GAUGAACGCUGGCGGCGUGCUUAACACAUGCAAGUCGAACGAAGCACUUUAUUUGAUUUCCUUCGGGACUGAUUAUUUUGUGACUGCGUGCCGGACGGGUGAGUAACGCGUGGGUAACCUGCCUUGUUCAGGGGGAUAACCGUUGGAAACGGCUGCUAAUACUUCAUAAGCGCACAGCAUCGAAUGACGCAGUGCGAAAAACUCCGGUGGUAUAAUAGGGACCGGCGUUGGCUUAGCUCGUUGGGGAGGUAACGGCGUACGAAGGCGACGAUCCAUAGCCGAGAUGUGAGGGAGACCGGCGACACUGGGGCUGAGACGCAGCGCGAACUCCUACAGGAUGGAGCAGUGGGUGAUAUUGCACAAUGGGCGAUAUCCUGAUGCAGCGACGCUGCUUGAGCGAAGAAGGAGGUGGGGAUGGAAAGCUCUAUCAGCAGUGAAGAUAUUGACGUUACCUGAAGAAGAAGCACCGGCUAAAUACGUG
rnacentral:rRNA from 1 species